CCUUUGGUGGUGGGGGUCUAUAGUGGCGGCAGAAGUGUAUGCAUGGUGAGCUAGCUUAUGGUUAUCCACUAUGGGGAGUAGGAUGUCUGUAGCUAAGGGGAAGAGGGAGGAAAAUCUUUCGCCUUUAGACAUACCUGCUGGGAGCCCAUUAGAAUGCAUGCUAAAAUCCUGGGAGGAUUGUAUUACUAGUACUAGGGAUAAAGAUAAGAAGAAAAUGAUACAAUAUUGUUGUUCUGAAUGGCAAAAGGAGGAAAAGCAAAGAGCAAGGCUCAUGAUGACUAUAUUAGAUGAGAUAGUUAAAAGGAGAAUAGAAAAAGAAGAACAGCAAGGACGAGGAAGGAGGAUAACAAGGGAAAAUUGGCAGGCAGGAAGAGCAAGGGGGCCCAGGAGAAGAGGAAUAAGUAGGAGUCCAAAUCCAGGGCCAGGAGGGAAGGAAUGGAGCCCAGUUCAGAUGAAUAUGGGCAGGUAGGACAUUUCAAGAUCAUAAAAAGUAGGUAGAGGGGGCAGUUUCUCCAAGAUGCAGCAGGAAGCUGAGAGUUUUAAGGAGAAUCUGUUUUGCCUCAGAGAAGGACAGACAGAGGUAGAAGAGUGAGGCUAGUGUUGGCUCAAAGGAGCAGAUAGCAGAAUUUGUGGGUGAACCAGAGGGGUUUCUGAAGGAGGUAGUGACCCAGAUCACUAUCAGUUACUGAACUUCCAAGGAAGUCAGGGGUUAAGAGUUUUGAAAAACAAAAUUGCAAUAUGUGGAAAGGGAAGAAAAAUAUUUGGGACAUUUAAUAACAUAAGGAGGAAAAAGGAGGAUAAACCCAGGAAGUAUAAGGGGAAUUGUUGAACUACCAUUACCAAAAACAAAGAGGGAGUUAAGAAAAUUUUGGGGUUUAAUUGGGUAUUGUAGAGACUCAUUUGUUAAAAAGACUAAGAGUGUGUAUGCUAAACUAGUAGAUAAUGAAUCCAAGGAGGGAGACGGAAAGAGUGAGAUGCAAGGCAGGGAGAGAAGAGAGAGAAACAGACGAAAAAGCAAGAAAGAGCUACCAGGAAGGGAAGGAGGAAUGGAAGACAGGUUUACAUCAAGACAUUAAUGUAGUAAAUAAGUCUGAGGUCAGAGGGACCAAGAGGGCUUAUUGUUUUAAAGGUAUGGAUUAAAUAGGAGGUUCCAUUGAGAAAGGAACCUAUAAACCUAGAAAUUAUAGUUUAAUAAUUUAGUUAAGGUAUAAAAUUAGAGGUUUAGAUGGCUAGCUAUGAGUGCAAAAAGAUUAUUGUAUUUAAAGUUUUAUUUUGUAAGUUCAGCUAAUUUGCAAGGAUCUUUUAUUUUAGGAAAAUAAUAUUUUUUUAAUAAAAAAGAUUAAAACAGGCUAUUUGUAGUAAAAAAAAAAUGCUUUUAGAGCAAUAUUUUUAAAGUAGGGGAAAAAAAACCCCUGUGGCUUGAGAGACAGAGGCAUAGAAAAGCACAAAAGGUUUUUAGUUUAAGAAAUGUAGAAAAACAAGAAAGGUAAAAUUAACCUCCUCUAUAAUUUUGGAAAACAUCAGUGUGUAGGGUAAAAGAGGAGGGGGUGAGAGUAGUUUGGAUAACAGGGAAAAAUAAUGGGGAGGGGAGUUAAAAUGUUAAAUAUUAAUUAAGAAAAAGUAUAUAUGUCUUUUAAGGUAACAAAAUUAACAAAAAAAAAAUGGCAUAAUAGUUUUGAGGGAUUUUAAAGAAUAAACCUAGUGUUUUUAAAGUGAUGUAGCUGAGUAUCCAGCUUCCAAAGAGCUAAAAAUUCCAGACAGAGGUUUUAGUAUCAGGAACCAGUUUUUAAUAGCUGAAAGAAAGAAAGGAAAAAUUGGAACACAUGUUUGGAUCUUUUUAAAAUUUAAAAAUUUCAAACUUAAAUUGAAAAGUAAAGC